rnacentral:piRNA from 1 species
AUAAAUGAGCAGGAACAAGAAAAC